rnacentral:rRNA from 1 species
CGGUGAAUACGUUCCCGGACCUUGUACACACCGCCCGUCAAGCCAUGGAAGCCGGGUGUACCUAAAGUCAGUAACCGCAAGGAGCUGCCUAGGGUAAAAUCGGUAACUGGGGCUAAGUCGUAACAAGGUACCC